rnacentral:lncRNA from 1 species
CAAACAAGAUGUCACAAGCUCCAAGUCAAGCUACACCCACUCAAGUUUCACCUACACCGACACCAGCACAAGUCAUCGAUGGACCGAUUACACGUAGUCGUGCAAAGAAGCUACAACAAGAGGUCCACGCGCUACUUUGUGAGAUUAAUUUUAACAUUAAUGAGAAUUUUAUACUACCUAAGUAUUGUACUUUGAUUGUACUCAGGUAAAUAGAAGAAGAGAAGGAUGAAUCGGACCCUGAUGAACGGACUAGUGCAAGUUCCACAAGAAGUCAAAAACGGACCAGUGGAAGUCAAAAAUGGACCAGUGCAAAGAAAUAUUCAUAACUUUUUACUCACAAAAGCUAUCA